rnacentral:rRNA from 1 species
GACGAACGCUGGCGGCGCGCCUAACACAUGCAAGUCGAACGAGCGAGAGAGAGCUUGCUUUCUUGAGCGAGUGGCGAACGGGUGAGUAACGCGUGAGGAACCUGCCUCAAAGAGGGGGACAACAGUUGGAAACGACUGCUAAUACCGCAUAAGCCCACGGUGCCGCAUGGCACAGAGGGAAAAGGAGCAAUCCGCUUUGAGAUGGCCUCGCGUCCGAUUAGCUAGUUGGUGAGGUAACGGCCCACCAAGGCGACGAUCGGUAGCCGGACUGAGAGGUUGAACGGCUACAUUGGGACUGAGACACGGCCCAGACUCCUACGGGAGGCAGCAGUGGGGAAUAUUGCACAAUGGGGGAAAUCCUGAUGCAGCGACGCCGCGUGGAGGAAGAAGGUCUUCGGAUUGUAAACUCCUGUUGUUGGGGAAGAUAAUGACGGUACCCAACAAGGAAGUGACGGCUAACUACGUG